rnacentral:rRNA from 1 species
CCUACGGGCGGCAGCAGUGAGGAAUAUUGGUCAAUGGGCGGGAGCCUGAACCAGCCAAGUCGCGUGAGGGAAGACGGUCCUAUGAGUUGUAAACCGCUUUUGUCGAGGAGCAAUGCCGAACACGCGUGCCCUGCUGUAGGGUACCCGCAGACUAAGCAUCGGCUACCUCGUGCCCAGAAGCCGCGGUAAUCGGGAGGAUGCAGGGGUUCUCCGGUUUAUUGGGGUUAAAGGGGGUGGUGGGCGGAUGUUUAAUUCAGGGGUAAAUGUUCGGGGCUCAAUCCGGGCCGGCCGUUGAAACUGGUGAUCUUGAGUGGGCGAGCAGUAUGCGGAAUGCGUGGUGUAGCGGUGAAAUGCAUAGAGAUCAUGCAGAACUCCGAUUGCGAAGGCAGCAUACCGGAGUCUGUCUGACGCUGAGGCACGAAAGCGUGGGGAGCGAACAGGAUUAGAUACCCGUGUAGUC